AUAUUAACUUAUCUGUGGCUUGUUGUAUUGUUGUAAAUACAAAUUAUUGGAACGAUUUUUGGCUAUAAUAAAUUGUUAAAAUAAUAUUUUAACAAAAAAAAUUGUAAUAUGUAAAUAAAGUAAUAGGUACAUGAAUAUAUUUAAAAAUAAUGCGUUUGGAAAAGAAAAGCAGUUUGUUAAGAAAAUCCACUACCAGCUAUCGACUAAACAGCAAAAAAUAAUGAAAUUCGGGGACAUCGAAUCAAAUAUGCAGCC